rnacentral:rRNA from 2 species
GAACUCUGGUAUUGAUUGGUGCUUGCAUCAUGAUUUACAUUUGAGUGAGUGGCGAACUGGUGAGUAACACGUGGGAAACCUGCCCAGAAGCGGGGGAUAACACCUGGAAACAGAUGCUAAUACCGCAUAACAACUUGGACCGCAUGGUCCGAGCUUGAAAGAUGGCUUCGGCUAUCACUUUUGGAUGGUCCCGCGGCGUAUUAGCUAGAUGGUGGGGUAACGGCUCACCAUGGCAAUGAUACGUAGCCGACCUGAGAGGGUAAUCGGCCACAUUGGGACUGAGACACGGCCCAAACUCCUACGGGAGGCAGCAGUAGGGAAUCUUCCACAAUGGACGAAAGUCUGAUGGAGCAACGCCGCGUGAGUGAAGAAGGGUUUCGGCUCGUAAAACUCUGUUGUUAAAGAAGAACAUAUCUGAGAGUAACUGUUCAGGUAUUGACGGUAUUUAACCAGAAAGCCACGGCUAACUACGUGCCAGCAGCCGCGGUAAUACGUAGGUGGCAAGCGUUGUCCGGAUUUAUUGGGCGUAAAGCGAGCGCAGGCGGUUUUUUAAGUCUGAUGUGAAAGCCUUCGGCUCAACCGAAGAAGUGCAUCGGAAACUGGGAAACUUGAGUGCAGAAGAGGACAGUGGAACUCCAUGUGUAGCGGUGAAAUGCGUAGAUAUAUGGAAGAACACCAGUGGCGAAGGCGGCUGUCUGGUCUGUAACUGACGCUGAGGCUCGAAAGUAUGGGUAGCAAACAGGAUUAGAUACCCUGGUAGUCCAUACCGUAAACGAUGAAUGCUAAGUGUUGGAGGGUUUCCGCCCUUCAGUGCUGCAGCUAACGCAUUAAGCAUUCCGCCUGGGGAGUACGGCCGCAAGGCUGAAACUCAAAGGAAUUGACGGGGGCCCGCACAAGCGGUGGAGCAUGUGGUUUAAUUCGAAGCUACGCGAAGAACCUUACCAGGUCUUGACAUACUAUGCAAAUCUAAGAGAUUAGACGUUCCCUUCGGGGACAUGGAUACAGGUGGUGCAUGGUUGUCGUCAGCUCGUGUCGUGAGAUGUUGGGUUAAGUCCCGCAACGAGCGCAACCCUUAUUAUCAGUUGCCAGCAUUAAGUUGGGCACUCUGGUGAGACUGCCGGUGACAAACCGGAGGAAGGUGGGGAUGACGUCAAAUCAUCAUGCCCCUUAUGACCUGGGCUACACACGUGCUACAAUGGAUGGUACAACGAGUUGCGAACUCGCGAGAGUAAGCUAAUCUCUUAAAGCCAUUCUCAGUUCGGAUUGUAGGCUGCAACUCGCCUACAUGAAGUCGGAAUCGCUAGUAAUCGCGGAUCAGCAUGCCGCGGUGAAUACGUUCCCGGGCCUUGUACACACCGCCCGUCACACCAUGAGAGUUUGUAACACCCAAAGUCGGUGGGGUAACCUUUUAGGAACCAGCCGCCUAAGGUGGGACAGAUGAUUAGG